rnacentral:rRNA from 1 species
UGGGGAAUAUUGGACAAUGGGCGCAAGCCUGAUCCAGCAAUGCCGCGUGUGUGAAGAAGGCCUGCGGGUUGUAAAGCACUUUCAGUGGGGAGGAAGGACUUAAGGCUAAUAACCUUGAGUAUUGACGCUACCCACAGAAGAAGCACCGGCUAACUCUGUGCCAGCAGCCGCGGUAAUACAGAGGGUGCAAGCGUUAAUCGAAAUUACUGGGCGUAAAGGGCGCGUAGGUGGUUAAUUAAGUCAGAUGUGAAAUCCCUGGGCUUAACUUAGGAAUUGCAUUUGAAACUGAGUGACUAGAGUUCGAGAGAGGGAAGUGGAAUUUCCGGUGUAGCGGUGAAAUGCGUAGAUAUCGGAAGGAACAUCAGUGGCGAAGGCGACUUCCUGGCUCGAUACUGACACUGAGGCGCGAAGGCGUGGGGAGCAAACA